rnacentral:lncRNA from 1 species
CCACGUCUCAGUUUAUUUUUCAGCCGCCCCGUUUUGUCGUCUCCUCCCUCUCUCUCUUCUUUCUCCCUCUACCUCUUUCUCUGUCCCUUUGCGUUUGACUCCUCUCCUCCGCCCUUUCCCCCCUACCUCGCGUGCUCUUCUCUACCUUCUCCUUCUUUUUAUCCUUCUCCUCCUCCCCUCACUCUCGCUCGCAUCGCCCUCUCUCUCUCUCUCUCN